GGGGGUUCUGCCUCGCUUCACCUGCCAGCCACGUGCAGACCUUGUUUCAGUCCAACUGAGACUUUAGCAAGUGCUUCAUUCUGGUUUGUGAAUGGCUUCCCAGUGUCUGUCACUGUGUUCACAGGGCCACCGGGGUUGGCUGAGUCAGAAUACCAGCCAUGUGGCAUGUCGCAUGGGGCAAGAGCUGUGCUGCCCAUGGGAGUCCAGAGAAGGAGCACACUAAGGACCAACACCAGAGAGAAGACAGCUGUCUGCAAACCAGAAAGAGAGUCCUCACUGCACUUCAUAUCUGCCAAUGGAUCCUUGCUCUUGAACCUCCCAACCUGCAGAAUCAUGAGAAACAAACAUUGUGUAAGCCACCCACUCUACAGUAAUUUGUUCUAGCAGACCGAGCUGACUGAGCAUUUGCUCUAGGGGAAGCCUGCAGCUAUGUCAUGAGGACCCUCAACAGCCCUGUGCAGAGGACUAUGUGGCAUGAAAGAUACCUUCUGCCAACAACCAGCCCCAACUUGCCAAGCAUGUGAACAAGCUAAACUGAAAGCAGAUCUUCAGCCCCAAUCAAGCCUUCAGAUGACAGUAACCUCAGCCAAUAUACUGACUAUAACCUCAUAAAAGACCCUGAACCAGAACCCUCUAAGCCACUCUCAAACUCUACCCCACAUAAACUGUGAAAUAAUAUAUGUUUAUUGUUAUUUUGGGCCACUAAGUUUAGGGGUAAUUUGUUAUGCAGCAAUUAUAUAACCAAUAUUCCAACUAAAGCUGAAAUGCCUCCUGCAUUUCCUCCCUCAGUGGCCUACACUACAAUCCAAGUUCAGGAAAAAACGAGAACCUUAUUUAAGGUAGUGGCAAGAAAUGAAUGGAUUAACUGGACAUUUAAAAAGUAUUUGAUAGAACUUGGUGAUAGGAGGUGGGGCAGUUAGGGACUAGCAGGAAUUUAGGAUGAGAGGCUCAUUCAGUUGGGCUUAUGUUUUACUGAGGUCAAUUCCAAAAGGAAGGAAAGAAAAAUCCAGCCAAAUAACCUUUAAUGGACUAAGUCUUCUUUCAUAAGUCAGUUUGCACAACUUCUUCACAGGAAUCAGAUUUUAAAUAUCAUAACUGAAGAGAAAAAAAACAGCAAGAGGAGUUUACCUUUAUGGUGGAAUGACACUAAUCUUUCAUGCUUUCAAAUUUCUUGAAAUUUCC
rnacentral:lncRNA from 1 species